UACGUAAGGUCCGAGCGUUGUCCGGAAUUAUUGGGCGUAAAGGGUACGUAGGCGGAUAAGCAAGUUAGAAGUGAAAUCCUAUGGCUCAACUAUAGUAAGCUUUUAAAACUGCUCAACUUGAGGUAUGGAAGGGAGAGUGGAAUUCCUAGUGUAGCGGUGAAAUGCGUAGAUAUUAGGAGGAAUACCGGUGGCGAAGGCGGCUCUCUGGCCAUAAACUGACGCUGAGGUGCGAAAGCGUGGGUAGCAAACAGG
rnacentral:rRNA from 1 species